AAAUACACGUGCUCGACUGUGAAGCCGGGCCGUGAGGCAUCCGGUGGAGUGAUCGGAAGCGAGAAUGUUGACAUGAGUAGCGACAAACAGGGUGAGAACCCUGUCGCCGAAAGUCCAAGGGUUCCUGCUUAAAGCUAAUCUGAGCAGGGUGAGCCGACCCCUAAGGCGAGGCCGAGAGGCGUAGUCGAUGGGAACCGGGUUAAUAUUCCCGGGCCAGGAGGAAGUGACGGAUCGCGGCUGUUGUCGUCCCUUAUCGGAUUGGGGCGGCCUCGAUGCGGUUCCUGGAAACAGCCCUCCAUCAGAUCGUACCCGAAACCGACACAGGUGGACUGGUAGAGCAUACCAAGGCGCUUGAGAGAACUGCGUUGAAGGAACUCGGCAAAAUGCCUCCGUAACUUCGGGAGAAGGAGGCCCCGUUGGCGCGCAAGCGUUGGCGGGGGGCACAGACCAGGGGGUGGCGACUGUUUACUAAAAACACAGGUCUCUGCGAAGCCGUAAGGCGACGUAUAGGGACUGACGCCUGCCCGGUGCCGGAAGGUUAAAAGGAGGGGUGCAAGCUCCGAAUUGAAGCCCCGGUAAACGGCGGCCGUAACGAUAACGGUCCUAAGGUAGCGAAAUUCCUUGUCGGGUAAGUUCCGACCUGCACGAAUGGCGUAACGACUUCCCCGCUGUCUCCAACGCAGACUCAGCGAAAUUGAACUCCCCGUGAAGAUGCGGGGUUCCCGCGGUCAGACGGAAAGACCCCGUGCACCUUUACUACAACUUCACACUGGCAUCAGGUCAGGCAUGUGCAGGAUAGGUGGUAGGCUUUGAAGCGGGGACGCCAGUUCCCGGGGAGCCACCCUUGAGAUACCACCCUUGCCUUGCCUGAUGUCUAACCGCGGACCGUCAUCCGGUUCCGGGACCCUGUGUGGCGGGUAGUUUGACUGGGGCGGUCGCCUCCCAAAGAGUAACGGAGGCGCGCGAUGGUGGGCUCAGGCUGGUCGGAAAUCAGCCGUCGAGUGCAAUGGCAUAAGCCCGCCUGACUGCGAGACUGACAAGUCGAGCAGAGACGAAAGUCGGCCAUAGCGAUCCGGUGGUCCCGCGUGGAAGGGCCAUCGCUCAACGGAUAAAAGGUACGCCGGGGAUAACAGGCUGAUACUGCCCAAGAGUCCAUAUCGACGGCAGUGUUUGGCACCUCGAUGUCGGCUCAUCACAUCCUGGGGCUGGAGAAGGUCCCAAGGGUACGGCUGUUCGCCGUUUAAAGUGGUACGUGAGCUGGGUUUAGAACGUCGUGAGACAGUUCGGUCCCUAUCUGCCGUGGGUGUCGGAGACUUGAGAGGAGUUGCCCCUAGUACGAGAGGACCGGGGUGAACGCACCACUGGUGGACCUGUUGUCGUGCCAACGGCAGUGCAGGGUAGCUAUGUGCGGACAGGAUAACCGCUGAAGGCAUCUAAGCGGGAAGCCCCCCUCGAAACCGGGUCUCCCCUGAGGGCCGUGGAAGACCACCACGUCGAUAGGCCGGAGGUGCAAGCGCAGCAAUGCGUUCAGCUGACCGGUACUAAUCGCCC
rnacentral:rRNA from 1 species